AGGACGAACGCUGGCGGCGUGCUUAACACAUGCAAGUCGAACGGAAAGGCCCUUUCGGGGGUACUCGAGUGGCGAACGGGUGAGUAACACGUGGGUGAUCUGCCCUGCACUUCGGGAUAAGCCUGGGAAACUGGGUCUAAUACCGGAUAGGACUACGGGAUGCAUGUUCUGUGGUGGAAAGCUUUUGCGGUGUGGGAUGGGCCCGCGGCCUAUCAGCUUGUUGGUGGGGUGAUGGCCUACCAAGGCGACGACGGGUAGCCGGCCUGAGAGGGUGUCCGGCCACACUGGGACUGAGAUACGGCCCAGACUCCUACGGGAGGCAGCAGUGGGGAAUAUUGCACAAUGGGCGCAAGCCUGAUGCAGCGACGCCGCGUGGGGGAUGGAAGGCCUUCGGGUUGUAAACCUCUUUCAGUAUUGGCGAAGCUUGUCGGGUUUUCGUCGCGAGGUGACGGUAGGUACGAGAAGAAGCACCGGCCAACUACGUGCCAGCAGCCGCGGU
rnacentral:rRNA from 1 species